UACGUAGGGAGCAAGCGUUGUUCGGAUUUACUGGGCGUAAAGGGCGCGUAGGCGGCGCGGUAAGUCACUUGUGAAAUCUCUGAGCUUAACUCAGAACGGCCAAGUGAUACUGCAGUGCUAGAGUGCAGAAAGGGCAAUCGGAAUUCUUGGUGUAGCGGUGAAAUGCGUAGAUAUCAAGAGGAACACCUGAGGCGAAGGCGGGUUGCUAGGCUGACACUGACGCUGACUGCGCGAAAGCCAGGGGAGCAAACGGG
rnacentral:rRNA from 1 species